rnacentral:lncRNA from 1 species
CAGAUUCAUUUGUUAGCUGUUUUGUCCCUUCCAGGCCAAAUAGUAUACAAGAACGUAGUCCACAUCCGCACUACAGUGGUAAGAUCAGAUCAGAUCCAUUCAUUUCUUUCUUUCUUUCUCAUAUACAUGAUGAUUGUGAUCUGUUUAUAAUUGAAAAUAACCAAUCAGUACAGACAACAAAGCAUUAAAAAUAGCUUCUAGUACAUACAAGAACAUGCUUUUUUGCCACAAAAAUCUAAUGAUGCUGUGUGAUCAGACAAAAAUGGCUGAUGUAAAUUUGUUUUUUCAGCAUCAUAUUCACCCAAUGGACAGGAAGUAAGUUCAAAUUUCUCCUUCAAAGAAGCAUUAAAGGCUACCAAUAACUUCUCUCCGCUUAAUAAAAUUGGAGAAGGAACUUUUGGGAGUAUUUACAAGGGAAAUCUUAAAGAUGGAACUAUCGUCGCUUUCAAGUAUGCAAAGAAGGUAAUGGAUUUAUUUAUGUCUACUGAAAAGAAGCUAAUAUAUCAAUUUCCACUUAAGGUUGGCCCAUUGGUCUCGGGAACUAUUAAGGUUUCUGAGGUCCAGGGUUCGAAUCUUAUUUUGUACAUUUCCAUUUAAAUUUACCCGAUGAUAUAUUAUGUGGCUCUGGUAUAUCAUCUGGAGGUUGACAGCUCUACAUUUGUGAAGAGGUACCCUCCGUUAUCAAAAAAAAUAUAUCAAUUUCAACAAUACAAUUUCUAGGAUAUUUAUUGAUGAUGAUAUUAUGGAUAAAUUGAGAAUUUUGAUUAAAAAAACUGGACAACAACUGAUUACCGAUGUAAUGUAACUAAGAUAUAACAAAGCAACAGACCAUGAUUUUUUACUCUUAUUCACUAAUGAUCUUGUUAAAUUGAAAAUCUUAAAAGAAUCCAAGUGGGAAUCAUGUCACGUCGGGUGAAUUCAAGAAUGAAAUCCAAAUCAUGUCAAAAAUAGAGCACCUGAACCUCGUGAAAUUAUUCGGAUUUCUUGAGCAAGAUGACGAACGCAUAAUUAUUGUUGAGUAUGUGGCUAAUGGAAACCUGAGAGAGCAUCUAAACGGUAAGUCAAAAAAUAAAUUUCCUACUUUAGAAUGGACAACUAUAUUUUAAUAGAAACGCAUAUAAUGUUCAUCAGGGGGAACUUAGUCCUUAAACUACAAGGGCACAUGACAACUAGACAAUUAAACAAGAAUAUGUAUAACACAAUAGUUUAAUCAUCUUCACUAUUUUCUUGUUUGGAAAAAAUACAAUAUGCAGGAAAUCGGGGAGUAACAUUAAAUAUGGCGGAAAGGAUUCAAAUUGCUAUCGACGUCUCCCAUGCCAUAGCAUAUCUGCAUACAUAUACAGGUUUGCUCUAUAAGAGUUUCAGAUGUAAAUAAGGGGGAGAGAUAAUCAGUCCCUUUUCAUUAACAUUGAGUAGAUUAUAUAUACAAUUCAGUAUAACAGAAAUCAGUUAUACUCUGUACUACAAAUGCUAACGAAAUGACUAAUUAGCCGAUAGAAGUAAUUAACUAUUUAUGUUAAGAAUAUAGCUAUUGUGAUUAAUAGAACUAAUUCUAACAUAUCACUGAUAUGCUUUGAAAACCAUUGAGCAGAUGACUAAUGCUGAUGAAUUAUGAUGCUCAAUAUCGCCACAAAGGCGGCUAGUUUUGAAAUUUCAUGCAAAAAGAGAAAAUUAUAUCGAUGAUUUAGUGAUAAAAACAAUAUUUUUAUCUCCACAGACGAGCCUAUCAUUCACAGAGACGUAAAAGCAUCAAACAUUCUCAUCACAGAGAAACUUAGAGCUAAAGUUGCAGAUUUUGGAUUUGCACGUCUUGUUUCUGAGGAUCCAGAAACAACACAUGUGCUCACACAAGUGAAAGGAAGUGCAGGGUAUUUAGAUCCGGAGUAUCUAAGAACAUACCAACUAACGGAAAAGAGUGAUGUGUAUUCAUUUGGGGUGGUUCUUGUGGAAUUGAUGUCCGGAAGACAUUCGAUUGAACCUACCAGACCAAGAGAAAAGAUAACCACAAAAUGGGUAAGAUUUAAGAAACCAAGAGACCCUAAUUAAAUUCAAUAAUGCACACUGACCGAAAAUGCUGUAUAUAUCAGGCAAUGCAAAAAUUAAAACAAGGUGAUUCGGUGAUGGUGAUGGAUCCAAACCUGCGAAGAAACCCAGCAUCAAUUGAAGCUUUGGAAAGAAUUUUGGAUCUGGCACGGCGUUGUCUAGAACCAUCGAGACGACACAGACCGAUGAUGAAGACGUGCGCAGAGAUAUUAUGGAGCAUCAGGAACGAUUUCAAGAAGAAUAACAGAGAGCAAGCAUCAGAACAAUCAUCCCCACAGCAUU